GACGAACGCUGGCGGCGUGCUUAACACAUGCAAGUCGAACGGUAAGGCCCUUCGGGGUACACGAGUGGCGAACGGGUGAGUAACACGUGGGUGAUCUGCCCUGCACUUCGGGAUAAGCCUGGGAAACUGGGUCUAAUACCGGAUAGGACCCUGGGAUGCAUGUCCUGGGGUGGAAAGCUUUUGCGGUGUGGGAUGGGCCCGCGGCUUAUCAGCUUGUUGGUGGGGUGAUGGCCUACCAAGGCGACGACGGGUAGCCGGCCUGAGAGGGUGACCGGCCACCCUGGGACUGCGAUACUGCCCAGACUCCUACGGGAGGCAGCAGUGGGGAAUAUUGCACAAUGGGCGCAAGCCUGCUGCAGCGACGCCGCGGGAGGGAUGACGGCCUUCGGGUUGUAAACCUCUUUCAGCGCCGACGAAGCGCAAGUGACGGUAGGUGCAGAAGAAGGACCGGCCAACUACGUGCCAGCAGCCGCAGUAA
rnacentral:rRNA from 1 species